CCAGUCCUCUCCACCCCAAGGUAGGCAGCUUCCCGCUCCUCGUCUUGGGACCUAAACCCAGGAAGUCAGAUGUCCUUGUCUAGCAGGUCGCCUGGUUAGAGGCCGUGGACGAAGCGGUCCAGGCACAGCCAGCUGCAGGGCGCGGCCUCGGCGGCGCUGCUCGUGGCCCUGGUCAGUGAGCGCACGCACUCCUGGACUAAGCUCUAUGCAACUCAUUUUCAUCUAGCAUUACCUCUCCAAAACCUGAAUCUCCACAAGAAAGCCGUACAGCAAUUAACCAGUGUUGCAAGAACUGCUUCUGUAAUAAAGGAUCUGUGAUCUUCUCAUUUUGCCUGGUAGUUGUGUUGUUUCCUCUGGGUACUGAUCACACUUGUACAAAUGGGCAGAUGUUGAAAAUACAUCCACUGGUGGGAAGACAAAUUGAUGCAACCCUCUUGAAAAGCAAUCUGGCAAUAUGAACCAAGAGCCAUGAAAAGGCUUAUGCUAUUAUAAUUAAAUGGCUGUAAUGUUGGCUGUAAAUAUGAAAUUUUCUUUCACACACCAGUAUUUUCAAGAAUGGCAUAUUCACAUGCAGUAUGUGGUAAGUUGUAUCAUUUCUCUUUGAACUGGGCUGAUAAUUUUCAAGCUAACAAACCUGCUCCUCCAUGAAAGUAAGUUGCCCCUAAAGACCUUACUCUUACUAUACAUAAGCCGUAGUUAACAAAGAGCUGUUAUUUUGAAAUGGCAAAUGCUUCCUAUACUCAGAUGUUUUUAUAUGUUCACAUCUCACAAGCAAUCAGCCUGACUAAAGCACUGGGAUUUAAAAAAUGCACUGAGACAGCAUCUUCAUAUGCCUGGGAGACAAUUCAACCCAGAGGUGCAAAUGCAGAAUACAUGUUUAUAUGAAAGGUCACUGAUUUUUCACUACUUAGGAAAGCCAUGCUAUGUGUGCCAAGAUAGAUGUACCUAAAUCUAAGGCUUUCAUGCCUUGAAAGAUAGAUGGAAAUCACUUUCUAUCGUUCACCUCCUAGAUUUUCUAAAACCUAACUUGGAGAGACAUCCAGUUCUGUAGGUUAAGCAGAGAAUAAUGCAAAUAGCUUGAGCUCAAACUACAUCCAAUUUUAUGUAAGAUUCUACAUUUCUGAGCUUUUCUUCCUAAGCCUGCAUCUCUUUUUCUGUUCCCCAUCUUAAUUAAUGUUUCUGAAUUCCAAACAUUUUCCUAAGAGAAACACCUCAAAGUUAUUCCAGACUCCUCUCUCUCCUUCAUUCAGAGACUGUCAGCUUUUAUCACCUGAACCUCUAUAAUGCUUCUUGAGUUGAGUCACUAUUUCUAUACUUGAAAUAUUAUAUUAGUUUUUGAUAGCUUCUUCCAGAGUUAUCUUCUUCAAACAAUAUUUAAAAAUAUUUAGCUUUAGGCUGGGCACGGUGGCUCACACCUGUAAUCCCAGCACUUUGGGAGGCUGAGGUGGGCAGAUCACUUGAGGUCAGGAGUUCAAAACCAGCCUUGCCAACAUGGUGAAACUCCAUCUCCACCAAAAGUACAAAAAUUAGCCAGGCGUGGUGGUGUGCGCCUGUCAUCCCGCUACUCGGGAGGCUGAGGCAGGAGAAUCACUUGAACCUGGGAGGUGGAGGUUGCAGUGAGUUGAGAUCACAUCACUGCACUCCAGCCUGGGUGACAGAGGGAGACUCUGUCUCAAAAAAAUAAUAUACAUAUUUUUUAGCUUUUAUAUUAAAAAAUCUUUGGUGGCUCUUUACCGUCUGCAGGAUAAAGUCCAAUUUUCUUUUUUUUUUCUUUUUGUUACAACAUUAUCAAUGUAUUUAAUACCACUGAACUCUACACUUAAAAAUGGUUAAGACACUAAAUUUUGUUCUGUAUAUUUUACUACAAUGAAAACAUUGGAGAAAAAAUAAGUAAACCUUUUUUAAAGUGGUUCAGUAACUUGUCUAAAAUCACAUAGCUAUUAAGUACAGACAUUAUUAUUCAAAAAAUCCUUGUCAUACUCCCAAACGUACUCCUUUUCUAUCAUAGUCAUGGUUUUCAUACUGUUUCAUGAAUGAUGCAGUAUUUUAUUUGAAUAAAGGUUCUUUACUGCCCUUUUGUAUACUUUUAACAUAAAAAUGAUUAAUGCUUACUUUUUACAUUACUCUUUCAGAUUUAAACUAUGGUCUUAGUUUUGUAAAAUUUAGCGUAUCUUCAUGUGUUUGGAAAUUGAAGGGUGCCUGAAUGUUUCUUAUUAGUCAUUGCUUCUGUAAUCCAUAUAUUUUUCUCCAAAUAAAAGGUGAUGUCUUAAACUGUGACUUAGCAAGCUACCUAUGUAUUUGCCUUGAGUGUAAAUGGAGAUAAUAGGAAAUACAAUCAAUUUUUCUUCAGAACUAUAAUUUUUAAAAAAAUCUCUAAUUACUACUCAUAAUCAUCCUUUGUAAAGUUUUUAAAAUCACAUAUACACUUUAAGUGAAUGAUGCCAAACUUCAACAGUUAGCUGUUGUAAUCUGUAAUCUUAGAACUCAUCUAGUGCUUAAUGGUAAAUUUUUUCUCAUGUCUGGGACUAACUCUCCUAAGCCUUGUCAAUAAAUCUGAGUCACUUAACUGUAGCACUCUUUAUCACACUCUGAGGAUCUUGUGACUGUUGUCCCCCCAAAAGUUAUCUUUUAAAAAAACAUAUUGGUCAGUGGUCACCCAAUUUUUAACUCUUGUAUUUCUAUUUUUCACCUCUUCCUCAUGCACUUCAUACCUAGACACAGCCCAUUGUUUUCUUUCCUUAAUUCCAGGAGGCCUUUGCUUGAUUCCAUGCCUUUGUAUGAAAAUAUUUUCUGUAGUACAUGACAAACACAUAACCAUUAUUUGCUCAUAUAUGUCUCCCUUACUGCAUUAUGAGUCAUUCAGAACAGAGACCAUGUCUUGUUUAUCACUGUAUACCAAGCAUCUGCAGAGGGUAAAGAGUCGAGAUACAUUAAUUGAAUGAAAGAAGCAGUAGAGGAUGUUAACAAAGCUAUUUCUUUGGACAAUCUGAACCUGACGGAGUCUUACUCUGUCGCCCAGGCAGGAGUGCAAUGGCACAAUCUUGGCUCACCACAACCUCCGCCUCCUGGGUUCAAGUGACUCUCCUGCCUGGCCAUAGAAGCAAACACAAACAUAGAGGAAUUGGCUUUGGGCAGAUGGAAGGACCUCAGAGAAAAGAAACAAAGGAAAGAAAACUGGAUGGAUAAAGGUACAAAGAAAUUUGGAGUAGAGCUGAAUUGCAACCCCCUCAAAUUCAUAUGUUAAAAUUCUGACCCUCAAUACCUCAGAAUGUGACUAUUUCUGAAGACAGGGCCUUUAAAGAUGUAAUUAAGGUAAAAAAGUCAUAUCGGUGGGCCCUAAUACAACAUUAAGGAUGUCCCUACAAGAAGAGGAGAUUAGAACACAGGCAUGCACAGAGAGAUGACAUGUGGAGACACAAGGAAAAAUGACCACCUCUUCAAGGCGAAAAGCCUUUUGAAGAAACCAACCCCGCCAAGGGUUAAAAUUCCCUGUGGAAUUUUAAGCUUCACAGAUAUGAGGAAGUAAAUUUCUGUUGCUUAAACCGCCCAA